UGAAUAAGAAGCAAAGUUGCUUCUCUUGUAGUCCCAAAAAGAAAAAAUUUAAUAAAACCAAUGCUGUCGUAUGGAAGAGACAGUCAAGUAGUACAGUGGCAUCAUAGGUCAUUUAUCUUUAACUUUUGAAGAAACUUAUAAGAUUUUACA